rnacentral:rRNA from 1 species
CAGUCGCCGCGGUAAUACAGAGGGUGCGAGCGUUAAUCGGAUUUACUGGGCGUAAAGCGUGCGUAGGCGGCUUCUUAAGUCGGAUGUGAAAUCCCUGAGCUUAACUUAGGAAUUGCAUUCGAUACUGGGAAGCUAGAGUAUGGGAGAGGAUGGUAGAAUUCCAGGUGUAGCGGUGAAAUGCGUAGAGAUCUGGAGGAAUACCGAUGGCGAAGGCAGCCAUCUGGCCUAAUACUGACGCUCAGGUGCGAAAGCGUGGGGAGCAAACAGGAUUAGAUACCCCUGUAGUCCCUGUCUCUUAUAC